rnacentral:tRNA from 1 species
GCGCCUUUAGCUCAGUCGGUAGAGCAGCGGCCUUUUAAGCCGUUUGUCCCGGGUUCGAGUCCCGGAGGGCGCA